rnacentral:rRNA from 1 species
UGACAGUACUCCUACGGGAGGCAGCAGUGGGGAAUAUUGCACAAUGAGGGAAACCCUGAUGCAGCCAUGCCGCGUGUGUGAAGAAGGCCUUCGGGUUGUAAAGCACUUUCAGUCGUGAGGAAGGCGGGUACGUUAAUAGCGUAUUCGUUUGACGUUAGCGACAGAAGAAGCACCGGCUAACUCCGUGCCAGCAGCCGCGGUAAUACGGAGGGUGCGAGCGUUAAUCGGAAUUACUGGGCGUAAAGCGCAUGCAGGUGGUUUGUUAAGUCAGAUGUGAAAGCCCCGGGGCUCAACCUCGGAAUAGCAUUUGAAACUGGCAGACUAGAGUACUGUAGAGGGGGUAGAAUUUCAGGUGUAGCGGUGAAAUGCGUAGAGAUCUGAAGGAAUACCGGUGGCGAAGGCGGCCCCCUGGACAGAUACUGACACUCAGAUGCGAAAGCGUGGGGAGCAAACAGGAUUAGAUACCCUGGUAG